rnacentral:lncRNA from 1 species
UCGAUCAUGACAUUAUCACAUUUUGUAUGAUUGAUAAAUUAUAUCGAUAUCUUUUUUUUUUGUUUUUGAAAAACUAACAUUUUGCAUUGACGUUUAUGUUGUUUGUCCUUACUCUUCAAUUAUACAUAAUUUUUUUUCCUUGAAGAUAAUAUAAAGUACUCUAAGUUGAUGUAAUGAGAUUAAUUAGAGUGCAUAGUUGUAGACUUGUGGGGAAACUCACAAAUGUAGAAUAUUAUAUUAUACUCUAUAAAUUUUACCAACUUCUAAUUGGAAGUUAUAAAGGUGGUCUACAAAUUUUUUUAUGUUUCAUCAGAAUUCAUUUCAUGUGUUUUGUUUUUUUAGGUUACUUUUGAGAAGUUACGGUAUGCGAUCCAUACACUUUUCUUGGCAGGACUAUUAGACUUUUUACUUUUUUUUUUUUUGGGUGAUAUUCAAUAGUAAUUUAAACGUAUUUCCGAACUUACAGUUUUAAACUAAAAAAAUAAUUUAUUAAAAGGAAAUUGAUUUAAAUAUGGAUUGUAGAUACAUAACCCAAGUCCAAAAUUUUCGCUGAAAUUUUAACUUUAAAAACUCUCCAUGAUAUCUAGA